CACGUAAGGGGCGAGCGUUGUUCGGAAUUAUUGGGCGUAAAGAGCUCGUAGGCGGUCCGUCGCGUCGGAUGUGAAAUUCCAGGGCUCAACCCUGGACCUGCAUUCGAUACGGGCGGACUAGAGUUCGGUAGGGGAGACUGGAAUUCCUGGUGUAGCGGUGAAAUGCGCAGAUAUCAGGAGGAACACCGGUGGCGAAGGCGGGUCUCUGGGCCGAUACUGACGCUGAGGAGCGAAAGCGUGGGGAGCGAACAGG
rnacentral:rRNA from 1 species